rnacentral:rRNA from 1 species
CCUACGGGCGGCUGCAGUGGGGAAUAUUGGACAAUGGGGGCAACCCUGAUCCAGCCAUGCCGCGUGUGUGAAGAAGGCCCUCGGGUUGUAAAGCACUUUCAGUGAGGAAGAACGCCUGGAGGUUAAUACCCAUCAGGAAAGACAUCACUCACAGAAGAAGCACCGGCUAACUCCGUGCCAGCAGCCGCGGUAAUACGGAGGGUGCGAGCGUUAAUCGGAAUUACUGGGCGUAAAGCGCGCGUAGGUGGCUUGAUAAGCCGGUUGUGAAAGCCCCGGGCUCAACCUGGGAACGGCAUCCGGAACUGUCAAGCUAGAGUGCAGGAGAGGAAGGUAGAAUUCCCGGUGUAGCGGUGAAAUGCGUAGAGAUCGGGAGGAAUACCAGUGGCGAAGGUGGCCUUCUGGACUGACACUGACACUGAGGUGCGAAAGCGUGGGUAGCAAACAGGAUUAGAUACCCCGGUAGUC